AUGAGGGCCCCUGUGCAGCUCCUCAGCUUCCUGCUGCUCUGGCUCCCAGAUAAGGAGGGAAAUGAGGGUUCCCGGUGUGAUGUCCAGAUGACCCAGCCUCCAUCCAUGUCUGCAUCUCUGGGAGAGAAAGUCACCAUCACCUGCAAGGCCAGUCAGAGCGUUAGCAAUUGGUUAGCCUGGUAUCAGCAGAAACCAGGGCAAGCUCCCAGGCUCCUGAUACAAAGGGCAACCAACUUAGGACCAGACGUCCCUCCCCGGUUCAGUGGCAGUGGAUCUGGGACAGAUUUCACUUUCACCAUCAGCAGCCUGAAGCCUGAAGAUGCCGCCACUUAUUACUGUCAACACUAUAAUAAUUACCCUCCCACAGUGAUACAAGCCAGAACAUAA